rnacentral:rRNA from 1 species
GAUGAACGCUGGCGGCGUGCCUAAUACAUGCAAGUAGAACGCUGAAGGAGGAGCUUGCUCUUUCCGGAUGAGUUGCGAACGGGUGAGUAACGCGUAGGUAACCUGCCUGGUAGCGGGGGAUAACUAUUGGAAACGAUAGCUAAUACCGCAUAACAGUAGAUAUUGCAUGAUAUUUGCUUGAAAGGGGCAAUUGCUCCACUACCAGAUGGACCUGCGUUGUAUUAGCUAGUUGGUGAGGUAACGGCUCACCAAGGCGACGAUACAUAGCCGACCUGAGAGGGGGGGUCGCCACCCUGGGACGGGGACACGGCCCAGACGCCCUCGGGGAGGAGCCAGAGGGAAACUUGGGGAAGUGGUGGGAGAUCGAGCGAGCAACGCCGCGUGAGUGAAGAAGGUUGUCGGAUCGUAAAGCUCUGUUGUAAGAGAAGAACGAGUGUGAGAGUGGAAAGUUCACACUGUGACGGUAUCUGACCAGAAAGGGACGGCUAACUACGUG